rnacentral:lncRNA from 1 species
GAAGGGACUCCAUAUGGAUGCUGCUUGAGAAACUCUUGAGUUUUUUGCAGCCUUCUAAAUUCAGGAAAAUAAGCUUCUUGAGAGCUCCAAUAGAUGGGUGAACCUCGACCAAACUUGUACAACCUUUGAGAAUUAGUCUCCUAAGGUUUGGCACUCCAGAGAAGUCUGGUGUUUUGGUUAGAUGUUGAGAGUGGCUAAGUUUGAUGGAUUUCAACUUCUCAAAUCCCUAUCAAAGAAAAGGGAAAACAAUCCACUUUAAUGGACUUUAUAAUCCAUUUAAAGAAAAAAAAUGUAUAUAAAUUAUAAUCAUACCUUUUUUCCUUCCCACAGUUGUUUAAGUCUACUAAAGCACAUGUUUAGCUCAACAAGCUUCUCUGGAUGAAAAUUUGAUGGAAAGGACUUCAAAGGGUAUCCAUGCCAAUAGAGAUCUCUUAAGUUGUUGGAUAGAAAUUUGGAAUCUUCAUAUAGGUGCAAUUUAUUUUGAGUGUACAAAUAAUUCCUCUCUGUCCAAACAUCAUGAGUAUAGGCAAUUAACUCUUUUUUUGACAAAUAUCCUAAGCUUCUAUCUAUUUGCACAUUACAAAUUUUGAGCAAUCUUAAUCUCUUCAUCUUUGUAAAGGCGUCAAUACUAAAGUUUAACUCUUUUGAUUCAGACAAAUCAAGGAAUAUGCCUUCAACUGCUUCGGUCCCCUAACAUUAACCAAGAGCAAAGUAUAAGUUUCAAAUUAAAAUAGAAAAAUUAAAAAAAUAAUAAUAAUAAAGAAAAAAGAAAGAAGAAAGUCUAGAAUAUAGCAAAUUAAUUACAUUUUUUUCCUUUUUAUUUUUUAUUUAUUUUUCACUUUUUUAAGUGUUGUUGGAAACUUGGAGGAAUGAAUUUUUAACACAAGAAAUAUUUUAGGAUAGUAACUUUCGUAAUGGAAGUAAAAUUGUACAAAACUGUGAGUUCUUGAAUGAGAUUGGAUAGUAUUCUUUAAACUUAGGCUUCCAUCUAAAACUUAUACACAUGAAAAAAGAGAGUUGAUGUAUUUUAGCCUUACCGUAUUUGUUGUUAGUACAUGAUUGAUGUCCUCAUGAACUCUUAACCUGCUACGCUCGCCAGGUACUUCAGAUUUUUGUCUAACAAUUUCCCAACCCAUUUCUUGUAAUAAAUCAUGCAUGCACAACUUAUUCUCCGAAAUAGUUAUAAGUGACUUAUCUUCAAGAUUUCUUAUCCCAAUGCCAAAGAAGAAACCACAACUAUCUAGUAUGUCUCCAACAAAAUCUUUAUCAUGCCCUUUAUAAAAGAAUGCAAUAUCAAGAAAUAUAUUUUGUUCAUUGUCAUCUAACCCUUCAAAACUUGUUUUGAGCACAUUUUGAACUUCUUUGUUGGGGAAUUGUUUGAGUUUGUUCAAUUCACUCUCCCAUUCAUGUAUGCCUUUUGUGUAUAGAGAAGAACCCAAGACUUUAAGGGCUAACGGGAGGCCACUAGUAUAAUCUAAUGCAUGGCCACAUAGUUGCCUAAAAUCUUCUGUACCAUGCCUAUGUCUAAAGGCAUACAGACAAAAUAGCUUAAGAGCUUCAUCAUUGUCUAAUUCCUUAACUUCGUAUAUUGCAUCCACUUCUUGACAAGUUAGCAAAUGUCGAUCUCUAGUUGUUAUGAUAAUUCGACUUCCUAAACCAAACCAAUUAUUGUAUCCUGCUAAAUCUUCCAACUGUUGUCGUUGAUCCACAUCAUCAAGGAUAAUAAGGACCUUCCUAGAGUGGAGCACAUCCUUCAUAAAAUUGAUUCCUUUAUUAAAAAGUCCUGCAUUUGGUUUCCUUUCCUUUAAAAUUUGUGAAAGGAGUUCCAUUUGUAAAUAAGGUAGACCAUGUUUGUAUGACUCUUCUCUAACAUUUGAAAGAAAGCAACAACCUUCAAAUUGAGUGUAGAUUCGCUCAUAAAUAACUUUAGCAAUGGUAGUCUUCCCUAUGCCAGCCAUGCCCCAAAUUCCUACCAUCCGAACAUCAAGUGAUCCAAUACAUAAUAAGCAAUGUUUUAAAAACCGGACCGGACCGGCCGGUCGGACCGGUCCAACCGUCGGCCGGUCACCAUUCCGGUCCGAUCCGGUCAUUUAGACCGGAUUGAGAUCUAACCGGAGUUAAACCGUUCGAACCGGCGGUUCAACCGGUGAACCGGACGAACUGGCCGGUUCCAAAAAAACCGACCAAUUCAAAAGAUUUUAAUUUUUCUUUAAAAAAAAAUUAGAAAAUGAAAAUAUUACCAUAGAAUUUAAAAUGAAUUUUACUAAAGGAUGUUGGGCUUGUCUUAUGACACAGCCCACAACCCACAUACCCAUUCCACUUUAUGUGGGCUGAGUUUUGAGCCCAAGUUUUGAGCCCACAAGCCUAUCUUAAGCCUUUGCUGAGGAUGGCUUUUAUAGGAGUCAUUUGACUCCUUGUUCCCCUUUCUUGCCGAUGUGGGAUUGCUAAAAAUCAAAGAAAAAAAACAUAACAAAACUCCAAGAAGGUUUGAACCUUGGACCACCCCUAUACUAAGUCCACAUAGAACACCACUCGGCUACAUGGAUUUUAUUUCCUACUAUGCCAAACAAAACAACACAUAUUAGAUUUUAAAUUUUUUUAUAAUAUUAAAUAAAAAUAAUAUAAUAUUUUUAAAAAUUAUGAAAUUAGUUUAAAUUUUCAUUUUUUUAUAUAUUCAUAUUUAAAUAUUACACAUAUUUCAUUUAAUAAAAUUUAAAAUAUUAAUAUGAUUUAAUUUGAUAAUAUAUUAAUAUCAAAGAUAUAAAAUAAUAUUAUUGAUGUUUAAUUUAUUCAUAUAUAUUUUAAAAUUUUUAUAAUUAUAUUUAAUUUUAAUAAAAUAUAAAUUAUAUAUUUAUGACGUCACCGGUUCGAUAGCGGUUCGACCGCCGGUCCGACCAGUGAACCGUGAACCGGUAACUUUUCCGGUUCGAUCACCGGUCCGGUUCUGAAAACAUUGAUAAUAAGGAAUCCAUGGCCUCUAGGCGGGACUCCAUCCCAACUAGGCCCUUCAUGUAGCUUGGAGAUGUGCCAACCAAUUUAUUCCAAAUAUCUCUAACAAUUUCCUCAAUAAGUUUGGAUUCAUGCCUGUCAAAUUCAAUUUGAGAACAAUGACAUAUAUAGUUAAAAUAAUAAUAAAAAUCCAUAAACGGACAAAGAAAAAUAUAUUAAAUGUGAGAGUACGUAGAGGUCGUUUGUUUUUUUAGCUUUUUAUUGAAAACAAUUGUUUAUUUUUCCACUUUUUUUAUAACUUAUUAUAAACAUUUUGUUGAAUAGAAAAAAAAAAAAAAAAACAAUCUGAGAUACCAUAAUUAAGAGCCACGCUCAACACUCUGUCCUGCAGAAACUUAAUGGUUAUGACCAUCAGGGGUGGAAAACUAGUGAGAUCAAGGACCAUAUGGCAAGGUACCGAAUUUUAUUUAUGCCUAAUAUUAUAAUUUUUUAUAACAAGGGGCAUUUAGAUCGAUCUCAGCUUAAUACGUGGGUCGAGAUCAAUCUUCAUUUGGAUCAAUGUGUACAUAGUCACCUCUUAAUUAAUACAUACCUCUGACAUGUCACAUGAUGAAGCAGAGCUUAUCCAGUUAAUAGAAAAGAAGAAGCACAUCUAGUUAGAAAGAAUUACCUAUCCCGUGAAUCCCAUCCAGAAAUUGUGGCUACUUCAGUUAAUGCUUCUCUCCACUUGACCACUUUCUCCAUCUUCUCCCUGUAUUCUUGUUCAUGCUUUGCAAAUGCCUCUGCAAAACUCCCUGUUUGUUUUUUUACAUGGGAGGGAUUCAAGUUAUAGAAAACUGGUAGUGCUCUAUGUCCCAUAACUUUGAUGCAGUCAAGUAUCUUUACUAGCUCGUCCAGACACCAACUGGAAGAAGCAUAGUUGUCAGAGAAAAUGAUGAUGGAAAACCUCGAUUCUUCAAUGGCGUUAAGGAGCGCUGGAGAUAUUUGUUCUCCUCUCCUAAGUUGGUCAUCCAUGAAAGUGUUGAUUCCUUUUUGACAAAGCGCCGUGUGAAGAUGAUCAGUGAAGCUUUUACGGGUGUCUUCGCCUCUGAAACUAAGGAAGACAUCAUACUUCCAUUGAUGGGUGGAAGAAGAAGUAGAAGAAGUAGAAGAAGAAGAGGAAGAAGGAGCCAUUAGAGAAAUGAAAGAAGCAAAACCAUGGGAAGAAUGAACAAGAAAACUAAUGAACCUGAGGGCUGAAUUCAGUGUCUUGUGUGGACCUUAUCCAAAAAGAAUCACCAUUUGGCUGGACCGUGAGAACUGAAGAGCUAAUGUCUAUUCAUACCCCAUUGGUAUUAACACAUCAUUAUUAGUAUAUUAACAUCAUUCAUCCAGUGUAUUGAAAUUAUGUAAUAAUUUCUUUAUAUACAUAUAGAAAAAAGAAACUACAAGUUUUGUGAAGUCAAAUUAGUAUUUCAUUUGUUUUUAGAAAUGAUUUAUAAUAUAAGUAUAUUAUAAAAUAUGGUAUGAUCAUACAAAAUUAUCACUUUUAUAAAAAAAAGUUCAAAAUUUUUCCAAUUAGAUUUUAUUAUAAUAUAUUGUAAUGUAAACGUAUUUAUAUUGUAAUUAUAACAUAUUUUUGUUGUAUCUAAGUUUUAUAAUAAAAGUAAUAAUUUUAGAUAUCAUUUUUUAUUCCUCAUUAAUAUUCAACAUAUCAUAUGUAUUAACAUCAUCCACUCAAUUUAUUGAGAAAAAAAAAAUUAUAUAUGAAAAUUAAAUAGUCUACCUCCCUCUAAUUUAAAAAAUGGAUUACUCCGCUCAGGUGAAUAAUAUUUUCAACCUAAAUUAAUAUUUUGCAUUUUUUUAACAAAUAUUUUUCCAUGCAGGAUGAAUAAGUUAAGCUUUCACCAUAUUCUAGAAUUUAUUUUAACAUGGUAUUAAAAAUUUUAUGUUAUAUUUUUCUUAGCAUUUCAAUCUCAAUUUUAAUUUAAUAAUGAAAUAUCAUAUCAUUUUAUUAAGUUGCUUAGCUUCAAAGCAUUUAAUAGUGAGUCCGGGGCUAAACAUAAUUUAAAUAAAAAAAGUCAAAUGGAAAAAGGAAAAGUGGGAGACACAAAAGAGAGAAAGACAAGAAUGGGGUGGGGGCCAUUGCUUUUUCUAAGAGAAAAGCUUUUCCUCAUCCACGAAGAAGACCAGUCCAUGAUUAAAAAGGAAGUGAUUACCUCAAAUCAGGAGGUAUGACAGAGAUUGAACAAGAGCUUCUUCAACUCGAACCACCUUUAAACUCUUCAUUGAAAUCUGGAGAAAUCAAAGUAUUUUUCACUCAAUUGUUGCUAUAAUAUCAUGAUAAAUUUAUUUUAAUAAAUUAAUAGAAUAAACAAUUGGUGGUCAAUAAAAUAUUUCCAAAAUCCAAUGUUUGAUUGCCAAAGGCUUCAAGAGUAUGAGAAGGUUUCGAAGAAGCUUACAGGGGGAGCAUAGGUGAUGGAGGGGAAAGAAGGAACCCGAUUUUGAAGGAGCCGAAGGGUCCAUCAGAUGACCUUUUUUGUAGUUAGAGUCAUCUCCAUCGCCAUCUCCAUCUCCCGGCCACGUGGUGCCGAAAGGAAAGCUGCAUCCGCCAUCUUUCUCGUCUUCCUCGUAUACUAGACGAAUCCCACACUUUUUCACCUCACCAUCUGAGCCCGUCAAUGCAAAUGAAGCAACCACAUUGUCGCUUAGCUUUCUGAACCAAUUACCGAGGCAGAUCUCUAGUCGAGCAAGAGAUUUAUACUCAAACAACGUGUGAUCUGACUCAAUAAAUCUGGAUCCUUCAGGUGGAGUAUACAAUGAGUGCAGGCCAGUCUCCACAUAACAAUCAUUCAGAUAACAAACUAAACCAAAGGGUGAAGGUUCUGUACCGGGGUACCCAUCCAUAGCACCCUUGAAAUUGAGAGCAGCACAAAAAGCCAAUCCCAUCAACUUGGUAUUAUACCAAUGUGGAGGCAGCUCUAUAUUUACAGAACACCCUACACUCUGAUGCCUGAACCACUCUGGAAUUCUACUUCCAGGAACCAAAGCAUUAUGUUCAUUGUCUGGAGUAGGGAUCCCCUGCAUCAUGGAAAUCAUUUCUCGCAUGUGAGAAAAUAGUGUAGAAUAAGUAUUCAAAGUUUUAAAAUUAUUUUCUGGGAUUAAAUUUAUUUUUCAGUUUUUUUUUUUAAGCAAAUACUUUUUGUCCUAUACAAUCCCAAAGUAGAAAAACAUACCCAUGGCACCAGAAAUUUUGGUAUUGAUGACAUAAGCUGGAUUCCCUCUAAUAUAGUUCCCACAAUGUCACUGCCUUGAUUCUCUCCUAGCCUAAAGCAUAUAGUGAAAUUAAAUCUGAGAUCCCCGACCUUCUUGGAUGUGUAUGCACUUGAUGAACAUGAGAAGGUUUCCAGGGAUGUGCAACUAUGGGCAUUUAAACUUUCAACACUUGAUGGAAGCUCUGGCAAUGAUUGAAGACUCUUGCAGUAUUCUAAUGUGAGACUUCGCAGCCGAGAAAGUCCACUGAGGCUAGAAGGUAUGGUAAUGAAACUGUUCCUGCUCAGAUCUAACCUUUCCAAUGAGGGUAAGGACCCAAGAUCACUGGGCAAUGCUCCUUCCGAUAGGUUGCAACGUUGUAGAAUUAACACUCUCAAGGAGUAUAAACCCGAGAAAGAAGGCAGUCGCAAUUCUUCUGUUGGUGAUGAGUGGAAAGAGAAGACCAUAUUCCUUGACUUGGAAUCCCCUCCCUUACAUCCUGCUAAUGAUAAUUUUUGAAGGUUUGUCAAAAGAGUAAUAGAGGGUGGAACCUCUUGUAUACCACUUCCAUCUGCAUUCAGCUCUGCUAAACAUUGUAGGCUCCCCAAGUCAUCUGGCAAUUCCUUCAGCUCUGAGCAACCACAGAGAGUAAGAGUCCCAAGAGAUGUCAACUCACAAAAGCUUUGCGGAAGACUUGCAAGUUUUUUACAAUUCUUCAGAUUCAAAAAAACAAGCCCAUUUAGACACCCAAUUGAGGAAGGCAGUUCUAUUAUACCACUCCCAUCUAGAAAAAGCUCCAUCAAACUCUCCAUGUUUUCCUGGAUCUCUGGAAGCUUCUUGAGUCUUGUGCAGUUUGAAAGAAUGAGAGUUUUCAGGGACUUCAACUUAAAAAUGCUUCUGGGUAGUGACUCAAGGCUUUUGCACUCUUUCAGAUUUAACAAAGCAAGUCCAGUGAGAUUUUCAAUGGACAAGGGCAAUCCUUUUAUAGCAGUCCCUUCUAAAGAAAGAUUUGGUAGAUGUUCCAUAUUCCCUUGGACCUCUGGAAACUUCUUCAGUUUUGAGCAGCCAGAGAGAGUAAGAAUUUGAAGGGACUCCAUAUGGAUGCUGCUUGAGAAACUCUUGAGUUUUUUGCAGCCUUCUAAAUUCAGGAAAAUAAGCUUCUUGAGAGCUCCAAUAGAUGGGUGAACCUCGACCAAACUUGUACAACCUUUGAGAAUUAGUCUCCUAAGGUUUGGCACUCCAGAGAAGUCUGGUGUUUUGGUUAGAUGUUGAGAGUGGCUAAGUUUGAUGGAUUUCAACUUCUCAAAUCCCUAUCAAAGAAAAGGGAAAA